CACACACACACACACACACACACACACACACACACACACACACACACACACACACACACACACACACACACACACACACACACACACACACACACACACACACACACACACACACACAGAGAGAGAGAGAAACCGGCAAAUCCAUUGACAGCGAGUGGAGCCCGGUGGACCACAUGAACACAACCCUACACAUGUAAUCACUGGGUUCCACACUUCAAUCAAGUCCGAGUUCCAUCGUAUUGUUGCUCAGAUCAAUUCAAUAAAAAUACCCGUAUAGAUAAACUGUACGCCCUGAGGAUUUAUUAUUGAUCUACUUAAGCUAUAAAAAGGGGAGAGCAGAACAGAAGCAGUUGGCUGAACAACCCUGCAGGGCGGUGUAUGAAACACCCAAAAUAAUGUCCUUUAUUACAUCAGGCUGGGCCCAGCAGGUUCAGGGGGAAACUCAAAGCAGAGGGCGCAUCGGAAGGAUCCUUUUUUUUUUUUUUUUACGACGAGAACAUGGCACCACGGGGGUAGGGCAGGUACACACACACACACACACACACACACACACACACACACACACACA